rnacentral:lncRNA from 1 species
AUUUGUCUCUGACUUUAUCCUAAAGAACUUGAGUUCUUCAAGGAGGCUGGGGAGCAGGGGGAGGCUGCAAGAGGUCAGAAAGUGUAUGCUAGGUUCAGAAUCCAAUUCAGAUGUGUGGUACUCUGUCUGCUCGGAAGGAAAACUUAUGACUCGCAGCUGCAUUGCAACAAGCACCGGGAUGAAGCCACCAAGGGCCCCCGCAUAUUUUCCUUGGCUUCGGCGCAAGCAGUUGACAUCAUUUCAGGUUUUGCCAUUCAUCCACUGCUGCCUGGAGCUUGUGGCUGUGUGCGGCUGUGUUCCAGAGUCUGGGGAAGGUCUGAGUGAAAACUGGGGGAGGGCGGGGUGCUGAGGUGGUCCCACUGAGUUUGUAAAAACAAGCAAAAAUGCACUGAACCCUGCCUUUCUUCCACUGCAACGAGGAGUGAAGCUAACCUUAAGCCCUCUGCCCAGCCCAGUCCUCCAGUGCACACAGACCCGGGCCAAGGCUAGCCUGGAGACCCAGAGAAGUCUUUGUUCUGUCUGUGCUAUUUUGGGAAAUGAUGACGAAUAUUCGCCACAGGGCUGGAAACAUAGACUCCCAGGCACUAGAAGGUGGGAGAUACACACAAAGGAAGGAGUCCUGACCUCAGAACUAUUUCCCUUAGAGGAGACACGAAGAGAGCUGCUGAUCAAAAGCAUUCACAUUAGACUUCGCAGGGAUGAGAAUCUUCUCAUGGCAAGAAUAUGAAAUUUAAGUUUGCUGGUUAUGGUACCUAGCAAUAUUUAUCCUAAUACAAGUGGUUAUCAUUACUGUCUCCAUUUAUUUAUGAGGAAACCGAGGCUUGGAGGUUAAUGGAUUAGGCACCAUUGCUAGUAAAUGGCAGAGCCUGGAUUCAAACCUAGGCCUGCCUGCCUCAAAAGUUUUUUACUCUGCUUUGCUGCCUCUUCAUGACAAAGGCCCAUGUGUGCAAGAGUUCUGAGGCCCACAGAUUUGCCCAUAGUGGGAAACAGGUCUCCCUGCCAGAGAAAGCCAGUUAUCUUUGGUAAUCGGCUCCACCUCCAGGGAAGUCUGGAAAGAAGUCUGACCAUCUGCAGCUUCCAAGAAGAUUGAUUCAUCAUGUCCAAGCCACUGCUGUUCAGGGCAGGGCAAGGAUCCUCUGAAGAACUCUUAACCUGAUGAGUAUUGCGCAUUCAGGACAGCUGGUGGACUAAAUGAGGGCCCCCUACAGCCACUGAGAGACUCGGGCACCGUGGGAUUGCAAACAUUGCAACAAUUCAGUAGGAGCUUAGCACCAUGAAAUUGCAUAACACCCACAGAUGAGGUUGGAGGGGAGCUCCUAGGGUGUCACAGCCAGGAUGACAAGACCCUGGGAAGCAGCUGCCUGGCUUCAACUUCCAGAAGGUCCCGUGUGGCUCAGGUUAGGCGUCUUUUAAGCACUUACUGACCACCUGCUAUGUACAUACCACUACAAUUACUGCUACUCAUGAGACCCUACUUCAGAAACUGACAAAGGAUUUGUUGUUCUGAUCUCUAGGUAUUUUUUUUUAAGUCUGACAAAGGUACUAAAAUAAGGUCAUAUUUGGUUUGACAUUUAAUGAAUCAUCUUUGCUGAAAAGGAAAAAAAUACAGAGACUCAGGACCGUCUUGGAAAAUACCCGACGUGGAAAUGUUGCUGGCUGAUGCACAUGAAACAGGAGGGGCGAAGGGGCCCCGUCCGUCCCACCCGAUUCUGUGUCCAGUGCCAGCGUAGAGCAGCACUCGGAGAAUGUCCACGAUGUUUCCUUAAUACACAAGAGUUUUCUGAGCUGCUUUGGUAGUUCUUACAUCUUUUCUGAAGCCUGAAGAAGUCAGUGAGGUUAAUCUACAUGCCAAAUCAUGAGGGCAAGGAGGCAUUCCUGCCACUGUCUCUCCCAGAAUAUUUGAGAAACACACCUGGCUACUCAGUAGUGGGCCUGAAUAACCACACACCCUUUGAGCCUGUGCCCUGUGGUUCCACCAUCAUUGCUUUCCAGAGAAGCAGGCCCCUAUGGGCACGGCCCCCACCCAGUCACCACUGUCCAAAGCUGUGGAGCUUCUCACACACACUGAAGAACACUGCCCAAGGUGUGAGUGGAUGAACAUAAAAUAAGUAGCUGCAAGGCUGAAUGCCUGUGUGCUGAGCUCUGGAAAAUGCAAACUUCACAGACCAUUUCUUUCUCUGGGCUCAGCCCAGCUCCUCCCAAGCCUUGGCAUUCUGCAGUCCAAGAGUAGUAAUAGUAACUAAUAAUAGAAAUCAUUUCCAAUAAUAACACAUGGACUGAUCCUACUAUAGAGUCACAGGGAUUAAAAUAUUCUUUGUGUGAAAGAAACUAUUUGUUCUAUCAUUCAACCUUUGGCAAACACAGCCACUAGAUCCCCAGCAGUCUCCCUGGGCUGGCCUUUGCAUACAUGGGUCAGGAAAUUCCAGUCCAUGUACAACUUAUAGGGACCCCUGCCCCUAACAAAACUUGUCAUCUUCCUUUUUUCCCUCCUCCAUACUGACACCAUUUACAUUCCAAAAACUUGCACAUGAGCUUGCUUCUCCCCUUCUCAAAUGUCUUAGAUGGUUCCCCAUGGUUUAGGUAAUAGAAUCACAACUCUUUUGGCAUUAAAUGCCCUGAACUCUACAUCAGUCUCACAUCCUACUGCACCCUGCACCUAUUCCCCAGUCUAGAAUCUCAUGCUCUAGUAAAAAUUAGCUAUUCAUUUUCCUGAACACAUUUUUUGUUUAGUUUCCAUUAAAGAAAACUUUACAUACAGUGAAAUGCAUAGAUUUUUUUUUUUGAGACGGAGUUUUGCUCUUGUUGCCCAGGCUGGAGUGCAAUGGCACAAUCUUGGCUCACCACAACCUCCGCCUCCUGAGUUCAAGCGAUUCUCCUGCCUCAGCCUCCCAAGUAGCUGGGAUUACAGGCAUGCACCACCACAUCUGGCUAAUUUUGUAAUUUUAGUAGAGACAGGGUUUUGCCAUGCUGGUCAGGCUGGUCUCGAACUCCCGACCUCAGGUGAUCCGCCCGCCUCGGCCUCCCAAAGUGCUGGGAUUACUGGCGUGAGCCACUGCACCCAGCCGAAAUGUACAGAUCUUAAAUAUACAAUUUGAUGAGUUUUGAUACAUGCAUAUAUCACCCCCUCAAUAUUUCCAUAUCUCAGAAAGCAUCUUAUGUCUCCCCCAAGUCGGUCUUCUCCCCUAUAAGCAACCACUAUCCUGGUUUCCAUCACCAUAGGCUGCUUUGCCUGCCUGGAACUUUAUAGAAAGAAAGCAGAGCAUAUACUCUUUUGUGUCUGACUCCUUUCAUAAAACAUAAUAAUUUUGAUAUUUAUAUAUCUUGUUACAUGUAGUAAUCCAUUCUUUUUCAUUGCUGAAUAGUAUUCCAUGAUAUGAAUAUGGCACAAUGUUUAUAUUCGUUCAUCCAUUGUAAUAAUUGGACUGUUUGCAAGUUUCGGCUAUCAUUCAUAAAGUUGCAAUGAACAUGUCUAGCACAAAUCUAUCUGUGGAUGUAUGUUUUUCAUUUUUUUAGGUAAAUACCUAGGAGUGGAAUUACUGGAAUGUAGGAUAGGCACAUGUUUGACUUUGUAAGAAACUGUUAAACUGUUUUCCAAAGCGGUUGUGCCGUUUAUACCCCCCACCAACAAUGUAGGAGAUUGAAUAGACUCUGUAUCUUCU